rnacentral:piRNA from 1 species
CCGAAUAGAAGUUAAUGUGGAAC